CUCGUAGGUGGCCAACUAAGUCAGACGUGAAAUCCCUCGGCUUAACCGGGGAACUGCGUCUGAUACUGGAUGGCUUGAGUUUGGGAGAGGGACGCGGAAUUCCAGGUGUAGCGGUGAAAUGCGUAGAUAUCUGGAGGAACACCGGUGGCGAAGGCGGCGUCCUGGACCAACACUGACACUGAUGAGCGAAAGCCAGGGGGAGCAAAACGG
rnacentral:rRNA from 1 species